GAAGGACUCCAGAGACUCGAUGCUGAGGCUGGGGUCGGGGUCGCUCCCGCUGGCCGAUAAUAAGGUGUGAUCUCUGGACUGGACCUCCACCUCCACCUCCACCUCCACCUCCACCUCUGCAGGUUUUCCUGACUUGCUAGAAGUUCUUCUAUGGUGCUUGAGUCAUCCAUCAUAUCUGAGACCUUCGUCUUGACUUUGUCGCGAAUUUGGUGAGGAGUAAAGCUGGCUGGCUGCGGACAAGGAAGUAGGGCAAUACAUACAUACUUGUGCACAUACACAUAUAUGACAAUGCAUAUCUAUUCAGACCUGUAAUGCAUGUCAUUUUCACAUAGCUAUAGAUCAUCUUUUUUUUUCUCAAUUCUCUACUAUUUAUGGUUUCAUAAUGAGUGAGUCACCUCUAAUACAAAUGAGCUCCAGCUCUAAUACUGCUGUUGUCUGUAAUAUGUUUCUAUUUAGAGUAUUUGUCAGGAUAUUUUGUUAUUAUUGUCCCUAUUUGUCCUUAUCUCUCUGUCUCUCUUUCUCUUUCGCUCUCUCUCCCCCCUCCACCCAACCAGUAGAGGUAGCGCCCACCCCGAGUCUGGUUUUAACUAAGGGUUCUUCCCGUUAGUCUCGUCCUACCCCUAGUCAUGACAUGACCUCUGUUGUGAUUUGACACUAUAAUGAAUAAAGAUUGAUUGAUUGAUUGCUAUUGCUGUCAAUUUAGUCCUUGAGUUCAAAGCUAUGUGCUUUAUUUGUUCACUGCUAUCAAGAAAUAUGACUUUCCAAA